AUACCCCUGUCACGUCACUUAUUAACAUCAACGAGUAACAAUUAACAACUGUAAAACAUGCAGCUAAAACACUGUAUAUAUACCAUGUUCUUACUAUUCAUUGCUUCGGUAUAUUAUCAAUUGUGCCCUUGCAAGAAAACUUGAGAUGACUACGGUUUAAGGGUGUUUUAGUAUUUUUAUGUAACCUAUAGUCAUUAAUGGUUUGUGAAGGAGCGCAAGUGACCUUUUAGUUUUUUAUGGGACGGUAAAAUGACUUCCUUUACCUUUUGAUCAAUUUUUUCUAACUCUCCAGCGAGGGUAGUUGGGUCUUUUCAUUUCACCGAAGAAGAGAAGGGAAGGGUAUUCAUGAUGGAGAAGAAACAAGUGCAGUGGCAGGGAUUUGCUCGCGCAUCACCGAUGACAAGGAUGGUUAGGCUGGUGGUGAUUCUUCUACGCUUGAUAAGAGGAUGUCAGAUUGCAAGGAAAGAAGCCUAUUGAGAAGGGCAAGUAAGCAAGUAAUAAAGCUCCGAGAUCAACAAGAAUCAGCUCUUUGCUAGAGUUCCUGGAAUGUAUUGUGUAUUAUUGAUGGAUUUAAACUUACAAAAAGCAUAUAUUAAACUGUUGCUUUUAAUUUGAUCUUGGUAAACCAAUUUCUUUUCUUUUUUUAAUCUAUGUUUUCAGUUCUAAAAGCAAAACCACAUGUAGAUUUUGGGGUGAGAGGAAGCAGGAUCAGGUAUAUGGUUGACAAAAACAAAAUUAUCAAAGCAUUUUUUUUUUUUCCCGUUUAGGAUAUCAUUUUCGGGGCUUU